rnacentral:rRNA from 1 species
AAGGAGCUUGCUCCUUUGACGUUAGCGGCGGACGGGUGAGUAACACGUGGGUAACCUACCUAUAAGACUGGGAUAACUUCGGGAAACCGGAGCUAAUACCGGAUAACAUUUGGAACCGCAUGGUUCUAAAGUGAAAGAUGGUUUUGCUAUCACUUAUAGAUGGACCCGCGCCGUAUUAGCUAGUUGGUAAGGUAACGGCUUACCAAGGCGACGAUACGUAGCCGACCUGAGAGGGUGAUCGGCCACACUGGAACUGAGACACGGUCCAGACUCCUACGGGAGGCAGCAGUAGGGAAUCUUCCGCAAUGGGCGAAAGCCUGACGGAGCAACGCCGCGUGAGUGAUGAAGGGUUUCGGCUCGUAAAACUCUGUUAUUAGGGAAGAACAAACGUGUAAGUAACUGUGCACGUCUUGACGGUACCUAAUCAGAAAGCCACGGCUAACUACGUGCCAGCAGCCGCGGUAAUACGUAGGUGGCAAGCGUUAUCCGGAAUUAUUGGGCGUAAAGCGCGCGUAGGCGGUUUCUUAAGUCUGAUGUGAAAGCCCACGGCUCAACCGUGGAGGGUCAUUGGAAACUGGGAAACUUGAGUGCAGAAGAGGAAAGUGGAAUUCCAUGG